rnacentral:rRNA from 1 species
GUCUGGUGCCAGCAGCCGCGGUAAUUCCAGCUCCAAUAGCGUAUAUUAAAGUUGUUGCAGUUAAAAAGCUCGUAGUUGAAUUUCGGGGUUCUUCCGUUGGUCAGGCUAACAAGUCUGUACUAACGUGUAGAAUUCCUACCUUCUGGGGAACCAUCAUGUUAUUAAUUUAGCGUGGUGGGAAACCAGGACCUUUACCUUGAAAAAAUUAGAGUGUUCAAAGCAGGCUUACGUCUGAAUACAUUAGCAUGGAAUAAUAAAAUAGGACGGUGGUCCUGUUUUGUUGGUUUCUGAAUCACCGUAAUGAUUAAUAGGGAUAGUUGGGGGCAUUAGUAUUCAAUUGUCAGAGGUGAAAUUCUUGGAUUUAUUGAAGACUAACUUCUGCGAAAGCAUUUGCCAAGGAUGUUUUCAUUAAUCAAGAACGAAAGUUAGGGGAUCGAAGACGAUCAGAUACCGUCGUAGUCUUAACCAUAAACUAUGCCGACUAGGGAUCGGACGAUGUUAAAUUUUAUUGACUCGUUCGGCGCCU